rnacentral:rRNA from 1 species
UACAGAGGGUGCAAACGUUGCUCGGAAUCAUUGGGCGUAAAGAGCUCGUAGGCGGUCUGUCGCGUCGGCUGUGAAAUCCCGAGGCUCAACCUCGGGUCUGCAGUCGAUACGGGCAAACUAGAGUAUUGCAGGGGAGACUGGAAUUCCUGGUGUAGCGGUGAAAUGCGCAGAUAUCAGGAGGAACACCGGUGGCGAAGGCGGGUCUCUGGGCAAUAACUGACGCUGAGGAGCGAAAGCGUGGGGAGCGAACAGG